GACGAACGCUGGCGGCGUGCCUAAUACAUGCAAGUCGAACGAACUCUGGUAUUGAUUGGUGCUUGCAUCAUGAUUUACAUUUGAGUGAGUGGCGAACUGGUGAGUAACACGUGGGAAACCUGCCCAGAAGCGGGGGAUAACACCUGGAAACAGAUGCUAAUACCGCAUAACAACUUGGAACGCAUGGUCCGAGUUUGAAAGAUGGCUUCGGCUAUCACUUUUGGAUGGUCCCGCGGCGUAUUAGCUAGAUGGUGGGGUAACGGCUCACCAUGGCAAUGAUACGUAGCCGACCUGAGAGGGUAAUCGGCCACAUUGGGACUGAGACACGGCCCAAACUCCUACGGGAGGCAGCAGUAGGGAAUCUUCCACAAUGGACGAAAGUCUGAUGGAGCAACGCCGCGUGAGUGAAGAAGGGUUUCGGCUCGUAAAACUCUGUUGUUAAAGAAGAACAUAUCUGAGAGUAACUGUUCAGGUAUUGACGGUAUUUAACCAGAAAGCCACGGCUAACUACGUGCCAGCAGCCGCGGUAAUACGUAGGUGGCAAGCGUUGUCCGGAUUUAUUGGGCGUAAAGCGAGCGCAGCGGUUUUUUAAGUCUGAUGUGAAAGCCUUCGGCUCAACCGAAGAAGUGCAUCGGAAACUGGGGAACUUGAGUGCAGAAGAGGACAGUGGAACUCCAUGUGUAGCGGUGAAAUGCGCAGAUAUAUGGAAGAACACCAGUGGCGAAGGCGGCUGUCUGGUCUGUAACUGACGCUGAGGCUCGAAAGUAUGGGUAGCAAACAGGAUUAGAUACCCUGGUAGUCCAUACCGUAAACGAUGAAUGCUAAGUGUUGGAGGGUUUCCGCCCUUCAGUGCUGCAGCUAACGCAUUAAGCAUUCCGCCUGGGGAGUACGGCCGCAAGGCUGAAACUCAAAGGAAUUGACGGGGGCCCGCACAAGCGGUGGAGCAUGUGGUUUAAUUCGAAGCUACGCGAAGAACCUUACCAGGUCUUGACAUACUAUGCAAAUCUAAGAGAUUAGACGUUCCCUUCGGGGACAUGGAUACAGGUGGUGCAUGGUUGUCGUCAGCUCGUGUCGUGAGAUGUUGGGUUAAGUCCCGCAACGAGCGCAACCCUUAUUAUCAGUUGCCAGCAUUAAGUUGGGCACUCUGGUGAGACUGCCGGUGACAAACCGGAGGAAGGUGGGGAUGACGUCAAAUCAUCAUGCCCCUUAUGACCUGGGCUACACACGUGCUACAAUGGAUGGUACAACGAGUUGCGAACUCGCGAGAGUAAGCUAAUCUCUUAAAGCCAUUCUCAGUUCGGAUUGUAGGCUGCAACUCGCCUACAUGAAGUCGGAAUCGCUAGUAAUCGCGGAUCAGCAUGCCGCGGUGAAUACGUUCCCGGGCCUUGUACACACCGCCCGUCACACCAUGAGAGUUUGUAACACCCAAAGUCGGUGGGGUAACCUUUUAGGAACCAGCCGCCUAAGGUGGGACAGAUGAUUAGGGUG
rnacentral:rRNA from 1 species